rnacentral:rRNA from 1 species
UACGUAGGGAGCAAGCGUUGUCCGGAAUCAUUGGGCGUAAAGAGCGCGUAGGUGGCUUUAUAAGUCCGUUGUGAAAGUCAAAGGCUCAACCUUUGAAAGCCGAUGGAUACUGUGAAGCUAGAGUACGGAAGAGGCGAGUGGAAUUCCUGGUGUAGCGGUGGAAUGCGCAGAUAUCAGGAGGAACACCAAUAGCGAAGGCAGCUCGCUGGGACGUUACUGACACUGAGGCGCGAAAAGCGUGGGGGAGCGAACAGG